CCUACGGGAGGCAGCAGUGGGGAAUUUUGGACAAUGGGCGCAAGCCUGAUCCAGCAAUGCCGCGUGAGUGAAGAAGGCCUUCGGGUUGUAAAGCUCUUUUGUCAGGGAAGAAACGGUGGGAGCUAAUAUCUCCCGCUAAUGACGGUACCUGAAGAAUAAGCACCGGCUAACUACGUGCCAGCAGCCGCGGUAAUACGUAGGGUGCAAGCGUUAAUCGGAAUUACUGGGCGUAAAGCGUGCGCAGGCGGUUUUGUAAGUCUGUCGUGAAAGCCCCGGGCUCAACCUGGGAAUUGCGAUGGAGACUGCAAGGCUUGAAUCUGGCAGAGGGGGGUAGAAUUCCACGUGUAGCAGUGAAAUGCGUAGAGAUGUGGAGGAACACCGAUGGCGAAGGCAGCCCCCUGGGUCAAGAUUGACGCUCAUGCACGAAAGCGUGGGGAGCAAACAGGAUUAGAUACCCUGGUAGUCCACGCCCUAAACGAUGUCUACUAGUUGUCGGGUUUUAAUUAACUUGGUAACGCAGCUAACGCGUGAAGUAGACCGCCUGGGGAGUACGGUCGCGAAGAUUAAAACGUUCAAAGAGUUAGUAGGCGNGNGAGAGCGACGACGACGACGAGGAGGAGGNG
rnacentral:rRNA from 1 species